UACGGGGGGGAGCAAGCGUUGUUCGGAUUUACUGGGCGUAAAGGGCGCGUAGGCGGCGUAACAAGUCACUUGUGAAAUCUCCGGGCUUAACCCGGAGCGGCCAAGUGAUACUGUUGUGCUAGAGUGCGGAAGGGGCUACUGGAAUUCUCGGUGUAGCGGUGGAAUGCGUAGAGAUCUGCAAGAACACCCGUGGCGAAGGCGGCCGACUGGGCCGGAUCCGACGCUGAGGCGCGAAAGCGUGGGGAGCAAACAGG
rnacentral:rRNA from 1 species